AUUCGUACGAAAUUGCAAGAUGAAACGGCAUCCGUGAAAUGCCUGAAUUGCCCGGUUGUGGUUCCUCGUGACUUCGCCUUCACAAAAUGAAAAGGGCGGAGCUCGAAUUCCAAACGAGAGAAGGACAAGUCUCCCUGUGGAGAUUGUACAGUUUCUGUACUGUAAUUGGUUGGGUCUUGGGUUGGUUCUCCAAAGCUCACACUUCCAACACCAUCCUCUCUUCUUGUUCCAGGCUUCCCAAUAUUAAUUUACGCACGUUAUAGAGGAGAAUCCUUUAUCCUUCUCACAUCUUGGGGCUCAAGCUUAAUUUCCUCUGGUAUGUAUGACUCUGCCGCUGUUCUCUUCCAUUUUCUUGAGGUCGAGGUGUUCUUUUGCUAUUUAGCUGUUGCUCUGCCAGUUAGUCUAGAGGUGCAAGAAAUAAAAAGUGGCGAUUUUUACGGACAUUGCUAAGAGCUGAUAAAUCACUUCAGGUGCUUUCUUUGUUAAUGACUCCUCGUUUUGUUUGUUAAAGACAGUGGAUGUGUUUAACUGUUUUUUGCACAGCGGGUUUUCUUUGUUUCUUUCUGUUUUAAUAUCCUUUAUUCUCUAAAGCAGAAAUGUUGAAGAUGGGCUGGCUUGUCUUCAACCUCUUCCUUCUCUGUUUUCUGGGUCUUACUGCUGCAGGUCAAGAAACUAUUCAAAUUUUUAACCUCUAUGAUGCAACUCCAGGGGUUCUUCAAGCAAUGUCUCAGGCAGUUCAUCCCUUAGCUGUUUCUUUGAGUGCUGAAUAUCUCAAUGGAGUUUCUAGCAGCGUUUUAGUGGCUGAGAGUUGGCUUAGGAACCAUGUUCUAGUUCAUUUUCCUGCUAUCAAUAUCAGCACCAUUGUUGUGGGUAGCACUCUCCAAUGCCAAAAUGGCCAAAAUCCCAACUGGAGUAUGGUUCUACCAUCUCUUAAGACAAUAUAUUACUCCCUUACUAGGUGGGGUUUGGAGAGAGAGAUAAAAGUUUCUGCUGGCUUUUCUCCUAGUUGUCUUGACCCAAAUUCUGAACUUUUUACACAUGAUUUAGCUGAGAAAGUUACUAAACCUCUAGUAUGGUUUCUCCGUAGUAUAAACUCUACCUGCUCUAUAAACCUGCCAACGAAUUUCUCUCCUUUAUCAGAUGAAACUGUGAGCUUGGUGUCUUCUCUCUCAAAAUUACUAAAAAAUCUUGGAUCCGUGGAACUUGACAAUAUCAAUGUGAUGGUUGCUGACCCAAAACAGCAUGUACCCAUGAACAGGAAACUCUCAACCUUUGAAUCCAAGAUUGUGAACUCAUACCCAGCAAGACCAACUCCAUCACCAGAAUCGUCACAAACCCCCAUCUACUCCUCAAUUGUCUCUGCCCCUUCCAAUGUAGCCAAAAACCCUCAUCGCCCACUGCCCCAUGUUGUUUCACCACCAUUGUCUCUCCCUCGUGCCUUUCCGCCACCAUUAUCCUUCCCUCUUGCCUCUCCGCCGCCAGUGGCCUUCCCUUUUGCACCAGAACAGCCUCCUCUCACGGGUCCAGCCACAGCACCUUAUGGUUAUUCAUUACCUCCCUGUAAUCCAGCUGACACAAUAGCACCAGUACCAGAGGCAGGGGUGGUGCAGGAGCUGUGGUGUGUAGCUAAACCUAGUGUUCCUGCAGAGUAUUUGCAAGAGGCAAUGGACUACGCUUGUGGUGAUGGUGGUGCUGAUUGUACAGAGAUUAUGCCUCAUGGUAGCUGUUUCUAUCCUGAUACUGUUGUUGCUCAUGCUUCUUACGCUUUUAACGGCUACUUUCAAAAGACUAAGAGAAAUGGAGGUACAUGCAACUUUGGAGGGACUGCCAUGCUCAUCACUUCUGACCCAAGUUUUCUUCACUGUCGGUUUCUUCUCAGCUAGGCGCAGCAAUGGAAGAUCGGUUUGUUUUAGCACAAGUAGGAAUAGGAUUGGCAGAGUAUAAUUGCAAGAUGAAUUUAUCUAAUAUGCUGUGAUUAACCUAGCAGAUGGCAUGUAGGAAAUGGUUACUGAGGAAAUUUUGUUUUCCUAACCAUUGUUGUCUUUUGGUGCACAGAAAUGGAAUUGCUCUUUUGACAUGUAUGCUAGAACUGGAUAAGAUAAAAUCCUGUCACUUCCAAUCUAUUGGACAUCGCUUAUCUAUGUUGAUCCUUUGCUGCCCAUUAUUUGACAUUUGUAACCCACUAUUUUAUGUCCUCUCACUUGUGGAUGGUGAUAAACUAAUGCAAGCGCUUGCUGCUUCCUGCCUAGUUUGUGAAUUCCUGUUAAUUCAUCUAAAAAUCUCCCCAAUGUUGGCCCAAUUUCCAUUCACAGUAUACCUGAUUAUUGAAUUGACAACUUGCAACUCAUCUGCUAUGAAGCUUUUUGAACUGCCAUUUGCCAUGAAGCUGCUGGUCAUAGUAAUUUUAUUUCAAAUUAAAUGGUUUGGAAGGAUCUAAUAUUGGAGACGUCACACGUGAACCUGAACCAUCAGUCCUAGUAAAAUAUGUUAUAUGUGAUGCAUCCAGCAGAUUUCAGAUUGAAGCCACUCUGAUAUAUGAAAAACCAGAUUUCGACCCCUGGACCUAUGGGUUAUGGGGCGGCCAUGCUUCUGCUGCGGCACUCUGAUUUGUUGUUAAUGCAUUGAAAUUAUUGACACAUAAAUACUGGAUUAGCUGCUACAGCAACAUUAAAAAGUAUAGCAUUUGUUUCUUUAAA
rnacentral:misc_RNA from 1 species